rnacentral:rRNA from 1 species
GGUCAAAUCAUCAUGCCCCUUAUGCCUUGGGCUUCACACGUGCUACAAUGGCCGCAACAGAGCGAAGCGAACCCGCGAGGGGGAGCCGACCGCAGAAAAGCGGCCUCAGUUCGGAUUGCAGGCUGCAACCCGCCUGCAUGAAGCCGGAAUCGCUAGUAAUCGCAAAUCAUCACGUUGCGGUGAAUACGUUCCCGGGCCUU